rnacentral:tRNA from 1 species
GAAGUGGUGGCCGAGUGGUCUAAGGCGCUGGAUUUAGGCUCCAGUCUUAACAGGCGUGAGUUCGAAUCUCAUCCACUUCA